rnacentral:rRNA from 1 species
UACGUAGGGUGCGAGCGUUGUCCGGAAUUAUUGGGCGUAAAGGGCUCGUAGGCGGUUUGUCGCAUCGGGAGUGAAAACCAUGGGCUUAACUCAUGGCUUGCUUCCGAUACGGGCAGACUAGAGGUAUGCAGGGGAGAACGGAAUUCCUGGUGUAGCGGUGAAAUGCGCAGAUAAUCAGGAGGAACACCGGUGGCGAAGGCGGUUCUCUGGGCAUUACCUGACGCUGAGGAGCGAAAGUGUGGGGAGCGAACAGG